UACAGAGGUCCCAAGCGUUGUUCGGAUUCACUGGGCGUAAAGGGUGCGUAGGCGGUUUGAUAAGUCUGAUGUGAAAUCCCGCAGCUUAACUGCGGAACUGCAUUGGAAACUAUUUGACUAGAGGAAUGGAGGGGAGACUGGAAUACUUGGUGUAGCAGUGAAAUGCGUAGAUAUCAAGUGGAACACCAGUGGCGAAGGCGAGUCUCUGGACAUUUCCUGACGCUGAGGCACGAAAGCCAGGGGAGCAAACGGG
rnacentral:rRNA from 1 species